UACGUAGGUGGCGAGCGUUGUCCGGAUUUACUGGGCGUGAAGGGAGCGUAGGCGGAUUUUUAAGUGAGAUGUGAAAUACUCGGGCUCAACUUGAGUGCUGCAUUUCAAACUGGAAGUCUAGAGUGCAGGAGAGGAGAAUGGAAUUCCUAGUGUAGCGGUGAAAUGCGUAGAGAUUAGGAAGAACACCAGUGGCGAAGGCGAUUCUCUGGACUGUAACUGACGCUGAGGCUCGAAAGCGUGGGGAGCAAACAGG
rnacentral:rRNA from 1 species